UAAUAUAUUAUAAAAAAAUAUAUUUUAUUUUUAAAACCUAAUUAUUUAUAUUAUAAUACUUUAAAUAAUAUAAAAAAAAAUUAAAAUUCUUAUAAAAAAAAGAUUUAUAUAAUAUAUAUUUUAAAAAAAAUUUUAAAAAUAUUAUAUUAUAAAAAGGGAUUUUUAUUAAUAAUAUAUAUAAUAUUAUAAAAUAAUAUAAGAUUUAAAAUAAAAGUUAAAACUUAUUAUAUUUA
rnacentral:tRNA from 1 species